UCUCCGUAAUGUUCCAAUAGAUCCUGCUGACCCUUCACUAUAUACUCAGAAGGGAUCUCUGAGUAGAUCUCAUUACUGAGA